rnacentral:lncRNA from 1 species
AUGGUUGAUCAACGAUUAAGAAUCGUUCUAGGGUUAAAUGAUCAACACGUUUGACAUUUAACCUAGUGCAAGUGUUGUAAGAGGAUCGAUUAGCAAUUUGAUUGCUAAUUGACUUAAUUUGAUUAAGCCAAUGGGCUGAGAUUAAGUCUAAUUGAAUAUAAUUUCAUUAGAUUUAGUUUGGGCUUGAUUGGAUCAAGUCC